UUUGUUAUGAUCCAAGAUUAAUGUCUCUAGGCCUGGCAAGGAUUCGCCAAUUUCAUUUGGGAGACGGUUUAUUUUGUUAUGCAAAAGAUUAAUAUAUUUGGUGCUUUUAAAGUUGUACUUGAGCAGCUUAUCGGGCAGUGUUGUGUAAUUAUUUCCGAUAUUCGAGAGUGUCUUCCGAUAUUCAAGACUGUCUUCCGAUAUUCAAGAGUGCAUCACUGCUUCUUGCCAAAGCGAAGCAUGCGAACAGCUCGUUGCCUCCUCGUAGGUUACUGGAAUGGGUACAUCACUUGCAACCAUUGCGCUGAGUAUAUUAAAUUGCUUCCUUGGGCGACUAGGUCUGCUCGUUCUUAGCAAUUUCGAUCUUCCAGGCUCAAUUCGUGGGAUCUGCUCUUCCUCCAGUUUAAGGACGAUAGAGGAUCAGGCGACUCUAUCCAUCCCUACAGAAAGCUGAAUAGAUCGCCUCAGAGAUGAGCUGGCCAGGCUGGUGUCCAAACCAUUAUGAAUCGUGUCAGCAAGAGCAAGAUCUGAAUCUAUACUAUUUAGAGUUGAUGCCGUUGGUUCCAGACCCGAAGGAGGAAACCAUCUAACAAGCUGGAAGGGAUGCCCCGCUUAUUAGCUGCCAUUGCCAAGAUCUAUUGUGCCCCCUUCUGAACGCUUAUAGCUGCUCCACCAACCCCACCUGCUGCACGAAUGCUAGAAUCAUUGUUGGGAAUGCUAGAGUCAACUUGGGAACUUGCAGCAGCAGCAGCAGCAGCGUCACCAACAGCCAGAACAUCAGCCAGAACAUCAGCCAGAACACCGCCAGCAGCCGCAGGAGCAGCAGCAUCAAAAGAACCACGUCCAACAACAUGAGCAGCAGCAACACAUAAUUUGUUGUGAUUUGUUAGAAAGGUUUUUUUCUGAGUGGUUCUGGAGGGGUACAAAUGAUAUUGGUGCUUUUAUUUAUAUCGCUCAUUUAUGGCACUUCUUCAAAUGAAAAAAAGUGUAUAUAUAUUGAAAGAGCAGCACUAACUUUAA
rnacentral:sRNA from 1 species